rnacentral:rRNA from 1 species
GAACGAGAAAGGGACUUCGGUCCUGAGUACAGUGGCGCACGGGUGAGUAACACGUGACUUAUCUACCCUCGAGUGGGGAAUAACUUCGGGAAACCGAGGCUAAUACCGCAUAAUACCCACGGGUCAAAGGAGCAAUUCGCUUGAGGAGGAGGUCGCGGCCGAUUAGCUAGUUGGCGGGGUAAUGGCCCACCAAGGCAGUGAUCGGUAUCCGGCCUGAGAGGGCGCACGGACACACUGGAACUGAAACACGGUCCAGACUCCUACGGGAGGCAGCAGUGGGGAAUUUUGCGCAAUGGGGGAAACCCUGACGCAGCAACGCCGCGUGGAGGAUGAAGUCUCUUGGGACGUAAACUCCUUUCGAUCGGGACGAUGAUGA